CGGAUGUUCCAAUCGCGCCAGAGCAGGCGGUGAUGCAGAAGGACGGCGACCCAGACGAUAUGCAGGGGUUGCUCGCGGUGCUGGCCUAAUCGGCGAAUGAGGUUGCCGCGGCUGCGGCGCAAGAGGUCGCGGAGGCGGCGCUGGCUGCGACAAAGGCGGUUGUGGCGGAGGAGGACGCCGGUGUGGACUGGGGUAACCUAGAGAAUGCCAGCGACGACGGCGGCGGCGAUGACGACGGCGGCAUGGUGCAGGUCCUCGACCUUGCCACCAGCGACGAGUAGUGGUAGUUUAGGUUUUUUUAAUGUUUAAUUUCCAAUUUCGUUCAAAUCGUUGUAAAAAAAUCCUAAAUAUGAUUGGAAUUUGAAACCUUUUUUAUUCUUCAAAUGUUGUUUUGAAUAUUUGAAAACCCCGACGGCGACCGAGGACAAGUUGCGCCGCCACCCCGACGGCCGGUGGAACAUCAGGAACUGGUGGCGGUGCUGGGAGGCCAAGUGCUUCGACAAUGUCAUCAUUGUGUACCAGCAGGCGGAAAGAGGCUUGAACCCCUUCCUUGCCGACGACGCCGCCGGAGCGGGCUCCUCCCGCGGCCGCACCCGUGCCCCCGUUGCCGCCCCCGCGCCCGCCCCGCCCCUGCCCCGACGGAUGUUCCAAUCGCGCCAGAGCAGGCGGUGAUGCAGCAGGACGGCUACCCAGACGAUAUGCAGGGGUUGCUCGCGGUGCUGGCCUAAUCGGCGAAUGAGGUUGCCGCGGCUGCGGCGCAAGAGGUCACGGAGGCGGCGCUGGCUGCGACAAAGGCGGUUGUGGCGGAGGAGGACGCCGGUGUAGACUGGGGUAACCUAGAGAAUGCCAGCGACGACGGCGGCGACGAUGACGACGGCGGCAUGGUGCAGGUCCUCGACCUCGCCGCGAGUGACGAGUAGUGGUAGUUUAGGUUUUUUUAAUGUUUAAUUUCCAAUUUUGUUCAAAUCGUUGUAAAAAAAUCCUAAAUAUGAUUGGAAUUUGAAACCUUUUUUCAUUCUUGAAAUGUUGUUUUGAAUAUUUGAAAACCCUCGUGAAGGCUUACAAAGUAACACUGUGCGAUGAAGCUAAAAAGAUUUAAAAUAAAAAGGCUUGAACCCCUUCCUUGCCGACGACGCCGCCGGAGCGGGCUCCUCCCGUGGCCGCACCCGUGCCCCCGUUGCCGCCCCCGCGCCCGCCCCGCCCCUGCCCCGACGGAUGUUCCAAUCGCGCCAGAGCAGGCGGUGAUGCAGCAGGACGGCGACCCAGACGAUAUGCAGGGGUUGCUCGCGGUGCUGGCCUAAUCGGCGAAUGAGGUUGCCGCGGCUGCGGCGCAACAGGUCACGGAGGCGGCGCUGGCUGCGACAAAGGCGGUUGUGGCGGAGGAGGACGCCGGUGUGGACUGGGGUAACCUAUAGAAUGCCAGCGACGACGGCCGCGGCGAUGACGACGGCGGCAUGGUGCAGGUCCUCGACCUCGCCGCGAGUGACGAGUAGUGGUAGUUUAGGUUUUUUUAAUGUUUAAUUUCCAAUUUCGUUCAAAUCGUUGUAAAAAAAAUCUUAAAUAUGAUUGGAAUUUGAAACCUUUUUUCAUUCUUGAAAUGUUGUUUUGAAUAUUUGAAAACCCCGACGGCGACCGAGGACAAGCUGCGCCGCCACCCCGACGGCCGGUGGAACAUCAGGAACUGGUGGCCGUGCUGGGAGGCCAAGUGCUUCGACAAUGUCAUCAUUGUGUACCAGCAGGCGGAAAGAGGCUUGAACCCCUUCCUUGCGGACGACGCCGCCGGAGCGGGCUCCUCCCGCGGCCGCACUCGUGCCCCCGUUGCCGCCCCCGCGCCCGCCCCGCCCCUGCCCCGACGGUUGUUCCAAUCCCGCUAGUGCAGGCGGUGAUGCAGCAGGACGACGACCCAGACGAUAUGCAGGGGUUGCUCGCGGUGCUGGCCUAAUCGGCGAAUGAGGUUGCCGCGGUUGCGGCGCAAGAGGUCGCGGAGGCGGCGGUGGCUGCGACAAAGGCGGUUGUGGCGGAGGAGGACGCCGGUGUGGACUGGGGUAACCUAGAGAAUGCCAGCGACGACGGCGGCGGCGAUGACGACGGCGGCAUGGUGCAGGUCCUCGACCUCGCCGCGAGUGACGAGUAGUGGUAGUUUAGGUUUUUUUAAUGUUUAAUUUCCAAUUUCGUUCAAAUCGUUGUAAAAAAAUCCUAAAUAUGAUUGGAAUUUGAAACCUUUUUU
rnacentral:lncRNA from 1 species